GAGGAAGUAAAAGUCGUAACAAGGUUUCCGUAGGUGAACCUGCGGAAGGAUCAUUAUCAUACAAUGGAGGUGCGAGGGCUGUCGCUGACCUUUAAAAGUUGUGCACGCCCGAGUGCUCUCAUACAUCCAUUUCACCCCUUUGUGCAUCACCGCGUGGGGGUCCCUUGAAAGGGGGAGGCCCACGUUUUUUUUAUUAUACAAGCCUCAAAGUUGUGUAGAAUGUACUUUUAUUUUAUUUUUGCGGUGAUACGCAAUCAAUACAACUUUCAACAACGGAUCUCUUGGCUCUCGCAUCGAUGAAGAACGCAGCGAAAUGCGAUACGUAAUGUGAAUUGCAGAAUUCAGUGAAUCAUCGAAUCUUUGAACGCACCUUGCGCCCCUUGGCAUUCCGAGGGGCACACCCGUUUGAGUGUCGUGAAAUCCUCAAAACCCCCCUUCCCUUGAUCACUUUGAUCGAGAAGAGGGUUUUUGGACUUGGAGGAUAUGCUUUCCCUCAUUUUUGAGUGGGAGCUCCUCUUAAACGAAUCAGUGGGGUUGGCUUUGCUGAUCCUUGACGUGAUAAAGUGAUUCUACGUUUUGGAUCUGGCACUGUCCCUUUAAAUGCCUGCUUCUAACCGUCUUAUGGACAAUGAUGGUGUUCUGGUCACCGCUGCCUGUGUUGGUGGGAGGCUAGACCCACAAGAAAAAUGACCUUGACCUCAAAUCGG
rnacentral:rRNA from 1 species